AUGUCCAGUUCUUGGGAAAGGCAAUUCCCUUUGACUUUUGUCAGGAAACUAACUAAAGAGAUUUCAGAUCAUAGCCCUUUGAUCUCGAAUACGGAGGACUUUAUUCCUAACACAAGUCAUAAGAGAGAAUUCAGAUUUGAUCUUAAUUGGCUCAAAAAUCCUGAGUUUAUUCCCUUAGUUGCUAAGGUGUGGAUGAAACCUGUAAAUGCAAAUGAUCCCAUUGAUGUAUUAAAUAUCAAAAUGAAGAGAUUCAAGAAAUGUUUCAAAGGAUGGGGAUCUAACCUGUUUGGGAAAUCUAGAAAGAGAAGGAGAGAUCUUAGAGAGGAGCUUGAAUAUCUAGAAAAACUAGAAGAAACUGAUGUGCUUUCCCCUGAAUUAUACUGCAAGAAAGUUGAUAUUUUGGUGGAAUUAUAUAAUCUACUGGUGGAAGAGGAGAUUGCAUGGAUGCAAAAGUACCAUGAAAAUUGGUUGUUGAAAGGGGAUAGAAAUACUGAUUACUUUCACAGAAUAGUAAACGGUAGAAGAAGGAGAAAUACUAUUUCCUCACUUAGUUGUGGAGAUGAGAUGAUAGAGGGGACUAAAAACCUGUUAAAACAUGCAACUGAGUUCUAUAAAGACCUUUUUGGACCUGGAGCUAGAAAUCUAUGCAAGUGA
rnacentral:rRNA from 1 species